CUGUGAACCCCAAAAGACUACCAAGGAGCUGAUUCUGAUGCAAUUACUCUAGGGUCUUUUUGAUUCAAGCUCCGACCUUGGGUCCACUGCAGCAGGACAGGAGGAAGAAGCCCGGAGCCCUCAGUGGGACAAGGUUUUAUAGGAAAUGGCGAGCAAGUGAGGCAGUUUCCGGCCUGGCAAGCAUCUAAAUGAAUGAUUAUUGUAAACCGACAGCUCAAAUGAGAACUAUUGCCUACAGGACG
rnacentral:lncRNA from 1 species